GAUGAACGCUGGCGGCGUGCCUAAUACAUGCAAGUCGAGCGAACAGACGAGGAGCUUGCUCCUCUGACGUUAGUGGCGGACGGGUGAGUAACACGUGGAUAACCUACCUAUAAGACUGGGAUAACUUAGGGAAACCGGAGCUAAUACCGGAUAAUAUAUUGAACCGCAUGGUUCAAUAGUGAAAGACGGUUUUGCUGUCACUUAUAGAUGGAUCCGCGCCGCAUUAGCUAGUUGGUAAGGUAACGGCUUACCAAGGCAACGAUGCGUAGCCGACCUGAGAGGGUGAUCGGCCACACUGGAACUGAGACACGGUCCAGACUCCUACGGGAGGCAGCAGUAGGGAAUCUUCCGCAAUGGGCGAAAGCCUGACGGAGCAACGCCGCGUGAGUGAUGAAGGUCUUCGGAUCGUAAAACUCUGUUAUUAGGGAAGAACAAAUGUGUAAGUAACUAUGCACGUCUUGACGGUACCUAAUCAGAAAGCCACGGCUAACUACGUG
rnacentral:rRNA from 1 species